AACGAACGCUGGCGGCAUGCCUAACACAUGCCAGUCGAACGAGACCUUCGGGUCUAGUGGCGCACGGGUGCGCAACGCGUGGGAACCUGCCCUUAGGUUCGGAAUAACUCCCCGAAAGGGGUGCUAAUACCGGAUAAUGUCUUCGGACCAAAGAUUUAUCGCCUUUGGAUGGGCCCGCGUUGGAUUAGCUAGUUGGUAGGGUAAAAGCCUACCAAGGCGACGAUCCAUAGCUGGUCUGAGAGGAUGAUCAGCCACACUGGGACUGAGACACGGCCCAGACUCCUACGGGAGGCAGCAGUGGGGAAUAUUGGACAAUGGGCGAAAGCCUGAUCCAGCAAUGCCGCGUGAGUGAUGAAGGCCUUAGGGUUGUAAAGCUCUUUUACCCGGGAUGAUAAUGACAGUACCGGGAGAAUAAGCGCCGGCUAACUCCGUG
rnacentral:rRNA from 1 species